GCUGAAGUAAGGGGUUCUAAAUCAUUCCCAAGCAAGACUUCCGCUGUUAAAUCCGUCAUAAUCCCUACGUUCACGGUACCGGAACCAUCUCCUCAAUCAAUAUGAAUGCGGACAGUGGGUAGGCGAUGUGUUACUCCCAAAGCUACCCUAACAGCCACUGUUGGACCCGUAUGCUUGUUGUCUCGAACUCAGUGGCGUUGCACCAAGGACAGGGCAGCUACGAUUUCUCUCAGCCCUCUAGCGGUCUGUCCGUUUACCACAACCAGUUGUCGAUGUUUCUGUCUGUUGUCUACUCAGGCAACCUGUACAAGGUCGGCAUCGUGUAACACCCUUCAGGAUUCCUUGGGUGUAGACUCCGCUUCUAGGCAGUGAGCUGUGGCCCUGGGUGGUACCGGGUUGGUACGCCCCCACGGUGGUCUAGGUGGUUCUAGCGGACAGUUGCUCCUGACGUGUUCUAGUUGUUGGCAUCGGAAGUACCGAGGUUCUGUCUUUGGUGGAGCUGGUUGAUGCCUGGGGGGUCCUCUAUCCGGAGGUUGGGGUUGGUUGGAGAUCCCGGAGACUAACUUCGUGCAUGGGGCGGACUUUGCCAAGGGUUGGUCCGUUUUACGGAUGUCUGUAUACUCAUCCGCCAGACGAGCAGCUUCUGGUAGCGUAAGCGAGCUCCGGUUGCGGUUCCAUGAAUUUUCAUGCAUGUAUUCAUUGGGAGUAUAUCUUAAAAGAGCUUAUGGCAAAGGCUGCAAUUUUUGUGAACUGCAGUCUUUGUAAACCCUCC